AACGAACGCUGGCGGCAUGCCUAACACAUGCAAGUCGAACGAGACCUUCGGGUCUAGUGGCGCACGGGUGCGUAACGCGUGGGAACCUGCCCUUAGGUUCGGAAUAACUCCCCGAAAGGGGUGCUAAUACCGGAUAAUGUCUUCGGACCAAAGAUUUAUCGCCUUUGGAUGGGCCCGCGUUGGAUUAGCUAGUUGGUAGGGUAAAAGCCUACCAAGGCGACGAUCCAUAGCUGGUCUGAGAGGAUGAUCAGCCACACUGGGGCUGAGACACGGCCCAGACUCCUACGGAAGGCAGCAGUGGGGAAUAUUGGACGAUGGGCGAAGGCCUGAUCCAGCAAUGCCGCGUGAGUGAUGAAGGCCUUAGGGUUGUAAAGCUCUUUUACCCGGGAUGAUAAUGACGGUACCGGGAGAAUAAGCGCCGGCUAACUCCGUG
rnacentral:rRNA from 1 species